AAAAAAACGAGGAGCUAACUUUGUAUUUAGUUUACUAUCCCCUUUCCUUACACAAAAAAAAAUCAACCAUACAAACAUUACAAAAAAAUACAAUUGCCUUGCAAUAAAAAACUGUUUUAAAUGAUUCCAAAAUGUCAUCUCAAAUAAACGUACUUGCCACUUCCUAUAACCAAUUGAACAGUACGUGCAUAAGUCAUCGGAUAACUACUUCUAAAGUAAACAUCAAACAUUACUGCCAUUUCAGCACCACAAAAUCCCAAUACUCACUUCCAAUAUCAAUAACAACAUCAAACACAUACCAAUUAUUC
rnacentral:lncRNA from 1 species